AUGGGGAAAAGCAGCGGGAUUCCAGAGCUAUCUGAGGAGGAGGGGCCACGGGGUUUGUUCGUCUGGUGGAGGGAGAGAAGGGAGCCCAGGAUGACAGACAGCCAGGCCUGAUUUGGCCAAAUCAUCAUGCAAAUAUUAUUCUGGGCUGACAGGCCCAAGUUGCAGUCAGCAGAGGCAACACGGGCUUAUAAUUUGCCAUUUGUGAAUGUCCUGAGGACUGGAGAAUCAGCUAGGAAGCAAAUCUUCCUUCUGCUGCAUAAGACAGCCAAAAGCACCUCUGAGGAUAGGCAUCUCAGGGAUUUCAGAGCAGGUAACGCCUUUUGGUUGUUUUGAAUAUGCUGACAGAAGAACAAAAGCUUUCAGGAAAACAAAGCCCAACCCCUUAAUGAAACAGGAAAGGAUAUACAGUUUCAAAUGCUUGCUUGCUUUCCUUGUUUUCUGAGAAGAAAGAUGCCUUGCCUGUUGAAGGUGGCAGAUGCAGGUUGCUCUGUGGGCCUCGGGAAGGUUCACUGCAGCUGUCACCUGCCCAACCCACGUGUCCUGAGGCACUGUGACAUCUUGACAGGUGUCCUGACUCUUGGCCUUGACAUGUCCUGUCACGCCUGCCUGUCAGCUGGGACUGGGCUUGGGGAAGAGCUUGUGGGCCUGGGGCCUGGUAGUACUUGCUUAGUUAAACAUCUGUGGCUGCUAUUUCCCUGUCACAGGCUGGCAAGUCAGAACUACUCAGAUUCACUUGCACAGCAAUGGUCCUUCAGUCUUCUGAUUAUGUGGCUCUGCAACAGGGAGAGGGAGAUAUUCAUGAGCAAGUGUGCAAAAUGCAUUUAAUGCCUGCUAAUGGUGUACAGCCAUCCAUUGCUUUGGUCUGCCCAGUGUCUGUCUCCCUAUCUUUUGAUACCAGGGGCCAAGUUUCUCUGGGGAAUUCCUUUCAGUUUUUGCAGUUCUGGGACAGUUACCCUUCACCCAGCACUAUGUCAAUAUGGGCACAUGACUCAAGCCAGCCAAUCAGAGUUCACUUUCCCUAGACUUGGUCACUCAGAGGGAGCUAUCCCUUAGGCCACAGUGAUUGGUUCAGAAAUGGGCACAUAAUCAAACUAGACCAAUGAGUCUCAGUUCUGAAAUUUUGAGUUAAGAUUGCUUGGAAAAAGAACUGUUUACUCUAUGGAAAUAGAAGCUGGAGUGAUGAAAUUUGGGGUACCGGGAGCGACAGGGCCAUAGUGAGAAGAGAACCCUACCUGAAAAUGAAGUCAGAAGGAAAAGGAAAGUAGACAAGAAUGAUGGAGAGAGAGGCAGAGACAGAUCCCUGAAGACAUCAUUUAAGAUCCCGAAUUCACCUGUGCCCAAAGCCAGACUAGUCCUGAAUGAUUUAGUUACAAGAACUAAUAAAUGCCUUUUUCCAUAAGUCAGUUUGAGGCCAGAUGAAUAGAAAUUGCAUCCCUUAUUGAGUCCUGGCUCAAGUCAAUUUAGCAAGCAUUUGUUAAGAUCCACGGUGGGAGCUAUACCUCAGAGCUCCAGGGAGCACAGGAGGUGUGCUACAAUCACAGCCAUUGCCAGUAUUGUUAUUAUUCCAUUUAUUAGACAUUUCAGACACUCCUCAGCACUUUACACACAUUAUUUCAUUUCACCCUUUGAGCACAUCCUUUAAUUAAAAAUUGUUAUCUACACUUUACAGGGAAAGAAACCUAGACCAGAGAAGUUAAGAAAUACAUCCAGGGGUGGGUGCGGUGGCUUACACCUGUAAUCCCAACACUUUGCGAGGCCAAGGUGGGAGGAUUGCUUGAGCCUAGGAGUUGAAGGCCAGCCUGGGAAACAUGGCAAAAUCCUCUCUCUAUUUUCAAAAAAUACAAAAAUUAGCCGGGCAUGGUGGUGUGUGCUUGUAGUCCCAGCUACUUAGGAGGCUGAGGUGGGAGAAUUACCUGAGCCCAGGAAGCAGAGAUUCCAGUGAGUUGAGAUCAUGCCACUGCAUUCCAGCCUAGGCGACAGAGUGAGACCCUGUCUCAAAAAAGAAAGAAAAAAAGAAAUAUGUCUAAUAUAGUAAUAAUAGUGACAGAGGAUGUGAGUUAUCGUCUACACACUGGCAGGCAAAAGAGGUUACUUCCUCCCAUCUCAAGGACUUGGAAGUAAGGGAAAUAAGACUGUACACCCAAGAAAGCAAAAUGGAAUAGAUCGGAGUAGAGAUCUGCCAAGUUGCCUUACAGAGCCAGGACAGCUUCCAGCCAGCCAGGCUAGAUCUAGCUGCCUGAAUGUAUUGACAGCAAAAAAAAAAA
rnacentral:lncRNA from 10 species